GGCGCUUUGGCUGAGUGGUUAUAGCGAUAGACUAGAAAUCUAUUUCCUUCGGGAGCAAGAGUUCGAAUCUCUUAGGCGUCG
rfam:Aureobasidium subglaciale EXF-2481 unplaced genomic scaffold scaffold_9, whole genome shotgun sequence.